rnacentral:rRNA from 1 species
GAUGAACGCUGGCGGCGUGCCUAAUACAUGCAAGUCGAACGAUGAGCCCGGAGCUUGCUCCGGCGGAUUAGUGGCGAACGGGUGAGUAACACGUGGGUAACCUGCCCAUAAGACUGGGAUAACUCCGGGAAACCGGGGCUAAUACCGGAUAACAUUUUGAACCGCAUGGUUCGAAAUUGAAAGGCGGCUUCGGCUGUCACUUAUGGAUGGACCCGCGUCGCAUUAGCUAGUUGGUGAGGUAACGGCUCACCAAGGCAACGAUGCGUAGCCGACCUGAGAGGGUGAUCGGCCACACUGGGACUGCGACACGGCCCAGACUCCUACGGGAGGCAGCAGUAGGGAAUCUUCCGCAAUGGACGAAAGUCUGACGGAGCAACGCCGCGUGAGUGAUGAAGGCUUUCGGGUCGUAAAACUCUGUUGUUAGGGAAGAACAAGUGCUAGUUGAAUAAGCUGGCACCUUGACGGUACCUAACCAGAAAGCCACGGCUAACUACGUGCCAGCAGCCGCCGUAA